UCCUGUCGUGGCCUGGUGAACCCAUCUCAAUAGCUCUCUUUGCCCAUAAGUCUGCAGACUCGUUUCCAGGAAUGCCACAAUGGCCUGGGAUCCAUCCGAGUACUAUUUUUAAUCCCUUUGAUUCACAUUUUCUUAAUAAGGUUUUGAUCUGAAGUAUCAAGGGGAAUUUUGCCUUCAUUUUAAACUGGUUGCCCAUAAUAGCUUGCAGGCAACUCCUGCUAUCUGUAAAAAUGAUCAUUUUUGCUAUAUUGUGAGAGUCAGCGUAUGCUACAGCUUCCAAGAUGGCAACAGCCUCGCCUGUGAAAAUGGAUGAUUGAGGAGGACAUUUAAACAUCAAGACAAUGUUAUAUUUUGGAAUCACCACUGCUGCUCCAACACAAUUUGCAGGAUCAUUUUUUGAUGCGUCAGUAAACACAGUGACCAAUGAAGCAAGAGCCUGCAAGCGUGUAAUCAGCAAGUGAUUGGAGUUGGAGAUAGCUCUUAUGAGGAACCUGUCAGCAAGAUAUUGUCUACGCAGCACCAGAGGAGGCUCCACACAUUCUACUUGCAUGGCAUUUUUUGGGGAAGAUCUCAUGGCACCAAAUGAGGUUUUCCACUCAUUUUCCGAUCCAGGAUGAUACCCAGGAAUUUGGUUGACUCUUUAUUGGGAAUGCUUUCUUCACCAUAAUGAACAUCUGCAGUUGGCAUGUUCCUUUUGCGACUGAAGGUCACAGCACAGCUCUUGGAGGGUGACAAAGACAGACCAUGCUCUUCAAGCCAAUCCUUCAGGUAACUCAGGCCCAUGUUCAACCUUGCAGACGCCGUAUCAACAGAUUUUGCGGAAGUGUAGAGGAUUAGAUCAUCUGCAUACUGUAGAAUGUUACAAAAGGGAAGCACAGAUUGCUCUAAAUCAUAUGUAUAUAUGCUGUAAAGAAUUGGACUGAGAACAGAUCCUUGAGGAAGGCCCUGCCACAGUGUACGAGGAGAAAGAUAAGAGCUGCCAUCACGGAUUUUGAUGGUUCUUCCUAUGAAUAGAUUGGAGACAAUUUGUACAAUCUUCACGGCAAUGCUCAGAUGUAGCAUUUUUGCUCUGAGCACCGGAAGAAGGACAUUGUCAUAAGCUGCCGAAAUAUCAAGAAAACAUCCUAGUAGGUCCUCAUUGUUGGAAAGCGACAGUCUGAUAUCCGUGGUUAGUAUGUUUAAGCUGUCCAUAGUGCUCCUACCUUUUCGAAACCCGAAUUGGGUGUUUGCUAACAUUCCCCUGCUCUCGACGUACCACUCCAGCCUAUUCUUUACUAGGUGCUCAAGUAUCUUGCCCAUCGUAGUGGAGAGCGCAAUCGGUCGGUACGAGCUGGCCUCUUGGGGAUUUUUAGUUGGUUUCAAUAUUGGGAUGACAAUUUGAGUUUUCCAAUCUUCCGGGAUAUCUCCUGAGUCAAACACGUGAUUUAGAAUGCCAAGAAAGUAUUCCUGUGAGAAUGAGCUCAGUUCAGUUAUAAAACAGUAAGGAAUACCAUCUUCUCCCGGUGAAGUGUUGCGCAGUCCAUCCAAAGCUAUUUUGAGCUCCGCAACCGAAAAUGGUUCGUCAAAGGUGGUUGAUGGAGGAGGGAGUGGUGGUGACACUACACAAGAUAAUUCUGGGGCA